rnacentral:rRNA from 11 species
UUUAUCUUUUUAAAUACCCUAAAGGCACCAGAUCUGGGAUGAUCUUAGCAGCUAAGCAGGGUCAGCCCUGGUUAGUGCUUGAAUGAGAGACCAUCAAUGAAUACCAGGUGUCAUAGGCAAUG